ACGCUCGACACCUACGGGAGGAGCAGUGGGGAAUAUUGCACAAUGGGGGAAACCCUGAUGCAGCGACGCCGCGUGAGGGAAGAAGGUUUUCGGAUUGUAAACCUCUGUCCUUGGUGAAGAAAGCAGACGGUAGCCAAGGAGGAAGCCACGGCUAACUACGUGCAGCAGCCGCGGUAAUCUGAGCGGGCUGGCAAGGC
rnacentral:rRNA from 1 species